rnacentral:rRNA from 1 species
ACUCCUGCGGGAGGCAGCAGUGGGGAAUAUUGCACAAUGGGCGCAAGCCUGAUGCAGCCAUGCCGCGUGUAUGAAGAAGGCCUUCGGGUUGUAAAGUACUUUCAGCGGGGAGGAAGGCGAUAAGGUUAAUAACCUUGUUGAUUGACGUUACCCGCAGAAGAAGCACCGGCUAACUCCGUGCCAGCAGCCGCGGUAAUACGGAGGGUGCAAGCGUUAAUCGGAAUUACUGGGCGUAAAGCGCACGCAGGCGGUCUGUCAAGUCGGAUGUGAAAUCCCCGGGCUCAACCUGGGAACUGCAUUCGAAACUGGCAGGCUAGAGUCUUGUAGAGGGGGGUAGAAUUCCAGGUGUAGCGGUGAAAUGCGUAGAGAUCUGGAGGAAUACCGGUGGCGAAGGCGGCCCCCUGGACAAAGACUGACGCUCAGGUGCGAAAGCGUGGGGAGCAAACAGGAUUAGAUACCCCUGUAGUCCCA